rnacentral:rRNA from 1 species
UAAGUAUUACUUGUAAUUAUAUAAGUAUAUAAAGAAACUAUUAUGGAAUUUAAGCUAUGUAUUAAAGAGAAUUAUUUAUAUAUAUAGAGAUCUAAUAUCCUAUAAUUAUACAAACUCUAAGAGAAAUCCAAUACUAAACGAAGUGAAUUGAAAUAUCUUAGUAACUUCAGGAAAAGAAAUCAAAAGAGAUUCUAUAAAUAGCGUGAGCGAAAGUAGAGUAGCCUAUAAAGUAGAACGGUCUCAAAACUGUUUAAAUAUAAUGGGGAACCUUCCUCUAAGGCUAAAUAUAAUACAUAAGCGAUAGUGAAAAGUACCAUGAGGGAACAAAAACAAAAAUAGUAGUUUUAUAAGCAGUUCGAUAAAAAGAACGUACCUUUUGCAUAAUGGGUCACCAAGUUAACGUUAGAUGCGAGUAUACGCGUAGUUAAACCGAACGUUAAAAUAACGAAAUAGUGUCUAAAGUUAGACCCGAAGCACGGUGAUUUUACCAUGGUCAGGAUUAUAAAAGUCCGAACGGGUGAUUGUAGCAAAAAUCUCCGAAGAACUGUGGUAGGUGUAGUGAAAGACAACACUGACUGUGAUAGCUGGUUUUCUGCGAAACCUAUAAUAGUAGGCAAUUUAAGUAAAUAUCUUAGCAGGUACAGAAUUUAAUCUCAGACAAGGCGUGUAAACGUUUUAUAUUGUACAAAUUGGGGGAUCAUGAAGAUUUUAUCAGUGAGUAUGUAGACUCGGAAUGGCAAAGAUAUGUCUUAAAUUAUCAGACAUAGAAUGAUAAGGUUGAAGUACAGCCUUUUUGUAGAAGUGAACCUUCUGCAAUAAACCAUCAAAUUGCGGGAACAUCCUAAAGCAAUCAUAACCAAGUAAGAGUAGUAAUACAUCUUAUGGCUCAGGUAAUGACUCGAGGUAAGGUAAAAUCAUGAUUGAUAAUAUAAUGGAUUAUCCGCAGCCAAGCGCCUCGUAAUAAAGAGGUGUGCAGUUCAUCGACUAAAUGUUGGUUGGCGCAAGCUUAAGAUAUAGUCAGGCCUCAUCUGAAAGGAUGCAAUGGCAAUAAAAUAAUUAAAAAACUAGAUAUUUUCUAUUUAUUUUGUGAAAUUUAUAUUUCUAAUUAAAAAGUAUAACAACUUACGGUAUUUUCUAUUUAAUAUAAAAGUAAUUAAUGAAAAAUUUAACUAAUAACCCAUCUAUAAUAAUACCUAUAAAAAGUUAUAGUAAUGCAUUUUUAAAUAAAAAUGCAAUUUUGCUUGAUAAUAAAGGUAAAUCAGGUAUUUAUCGUUGGAUAAAUAAAUUAAAUAGUAAUAGUUAUGUGGGUAGUGGUCUAAAUUUAUCAAAAAGAGUGGGCGAAUAUUAUAAGGAAAGUGAAUUAAAAAUAAACCCUAGACCUAUUCAUGCUGCUUUACUAAAACAUGGAUAUACAAAUUUCACAUUAGAAAUAUUAGAAUAUUGCAAGUCAGAUGAGCUUAUUGAAAGAGAACAGUAUUAUUUGGAUUUUUUAAACCCUGAAUAUAAUAUAUUAAAACAUGCUUAUUCUUUAUUAGGAUUUAAACAUAGCGCUGAAAAUAUAGCUAAGUUUAAAUUAAAAACAAUAUCAGAAGAGCACAAAAAUUUAUUAUCUUCAGUCCAUUCAGGAAAAGAAGUUAGUCAAGAAGUUAGAGAUAAAUUAUCUUUAGCUACAACUAAUUACAAAAAUAAUAAUCCUCUUUCACCUGAAGCUUUAGCUAAUAUUACAGCUAAAACUACAGAACGUGAAGGAGUAUCUGUUAGACUUUUAAAUACCCAAACUAAUGAAAUAUUAGAUUUUCCUACUUUAACUAAAGCUGCAGAAUAUUUGGGGAUAAAGAGACAAGCUAUACGAAACGCAAUUAAUAGAGGAAGUCUUGUUAAAGAACUCUAUCGUAUUUCGGAAAAAUAGUAAUAUAACAUUUAGUUGUAUAAAUUAUUUUAAUUUUAAUAAUUUAAUUAUUGAGAUCAGGUUUAUAAAUAACCUGUUGUCUAAAUGGAUAGUUCAUAGAUAUCAUAUAAACUAUUUAGGGAGAAGAUUUAGCUUAUUUAAUACAUAAGCUAAAAUCUCGUGUAUGUCGAAAGGGAAACAGCCCAGAACAAGAGUUAAGGUUCCUAAAUUAUUAGUUAAGUGAAAUUAAGAAGGUUUUUAUUAAAGUCGACAAGGAGAUAGGCUUAGAAGCAGCCAUAAUUUUAUGACCUCGUAACAGAGCGCUUGUUAAGUUAUAAAAGCAUCGAAAAUUUAACGGAUCUAAACAAUAUACCGAAACCUUGUCCAUAAUAUAUUAUAUUAGUUAUUUUAAUGUAAUUAUAUGGGGUAGCAGAACGUUGAGCUAUAUUAUGAUUUCUAUUUUUUAAAUAGAAUUAUAUUAAUUUAACUCAAGUGAGAAUGGUGACAUGAGUAACGAAAAGAAAAUUUUCCGCCUUAAGCUUAUGGAUAUAAUUAAGUAACGGCCUCUAAGUUUAUAUUAUCUAAAGAUUUAAACGAUGAGAAAAUCUUUUUUACUAAGGACAACAUUUUAGUGUAAAAUGUGCUGGAAAAAUAGUAAAUAUAUUUGUUAUUUUAUAGCAAAUGAACAAUAACCGUACCUAAAAUCUGAAACAAGUAAGCUAGUAGAGAAUACGAAGGCGUAAAUGAGCUAACAAUCAUAAAGGAACUCGGCAAAUUGACUACCGUAACUUCGGAAUAAGGAGGGCUCAUUAUUCUUGAUUAAUAUCAAGUAAAGAGGAAGAAGCAUGAAAUAAUGUUGUACGACUGUUUAAUUAAAACACAGCACUUUGCUGAAAGAUUAAAAAUCUAUGUAUAAAGUGUGAUAUCUGCCCGGUGCCGGCUGGUUAACUGAGAUAAUUGAAUACACUACUAUUUGAUGUCGACGGAAACCCCGGUUAAAGGCGGCCUUAACGUGAGGGUCCUAAGGUAGCGAAAUGCCUUGGCCGUUAAAUGCGGUCUUGCAUGAAUGGUGUAACGAUACAACAGCUGUCUCUAUGAUUGACUCAGUGAAAUUGGAAUAGCUGUGCAGAUACAGCUUACCUCUAGUUAGACGAGAAGACCCUAUGCAGCUUUACUGUCACUAAUUAUAGAGUAUGAUAGACAAUUUUCAGAAUAUAAGGUAAUUGACGAUAUGACAAUGAGAAUCCUUUAUUUUUCUUUCAUAUGAAUGAAUUGGUUUAGGAUUAAGAGUAGAUUGUAAUUAAUGUGGCUUUUUACUGAGUCAUUUUAAUACAUUAAUUAUAGUUUUUAAAUUAUUAUAUAGCUCAUUUUAGUAAAUCAGCCUAAUUCAACUUAUUAUUUUAGAAUAGUAAGUACCCUUUGGCAAGGAACUAUCGCUAGAGGACAGUUUAUGUGGGGCACAGACCCUGUAAAGAGUAAACAGGAGUGUCUAAUAAUUAUAAAUUAUUUUGUUUGUUAUUUUGAGUAGUAAGCGUAAGCUACAACUAUUUUUAAUCAUAUAUAAUUAUUUAUAUUUGCAUUUAUUGUAAAUAUAUUUAAGUUUAGGUAGGAUUUUGACUAUAUAGAAAUUAGAGAUAAUUGAAAAUAUUAUGAAAUAUUUCUAAUGUUUUCUAGCUAUUAUUUUUGAUAGUUAUGUAUUUAAUAUCUAAAAAGCUCAACGGCUAAAUCUUGCCUUACUGUUUGAUUAUCUACAAAUCUUACAGUUGCGUAAGCAGGGCAUAGGAUCACAAGAUGCGAUAAGGAAAGAUCUUGGAUUAUUGGAAAAGCUACGCUAGGGAUGUUUGUCCUUUAAUAUUUUAUUUUUAUUAGUAAAUUAUGCAUUAACUUAUGCAAAAUAAAACUAUAAAUAAAAUCAUUAAUAUAUAUUGGGUAAAUUUCAAGGAUUACUAAUGAUAGUAAACUUGAAGCGAAGUUUAUCUUAGCAUAAAUUAUAAGAUAAAAACGUUCAACGACUAUAAGGUGAGUGUUAUGCAAUUAACGAUAAUCCUUUUAAUACUACCCAACACUUUUAUUUAUCAUAUUUAAAGAAAAAGUAAAAUAAAUUUAUAACAAAAUAAUCAUGAAAGUAUUUAAUAAUAAUAUAAAAAAUAUCCCUAAAACUAUUACUUUGAGAAAUAAAGUAGGAGAUAUAAGAAAUAAGAAAUAUUUGCCCUCUUUCUCUAAAGAAUGGAAAAACAUUGUUUAUUCUUAUAAUAAAAAUAAUUUAAAUAAUAUACCAGUUAAUGAUGUAAAUAUUAAUAAAAUAAUACAAAGUUAUUUUAACUUAUAUUUCAAAGAUUAUAAAUAUGUAGGUUCUAAGAAAUUUAUAUUACUUAGAAGAAGACGUAAUUUUUUAAGAAGAAUAUACGUAAGUAAUGCGGAAGUUAAACAUACGAAUAAUAAAGCAAUAAUUACUUUAUUUAUUGUAAAUAGAGAAUAUAAAAUAUUAAAGAAUAAAUAUUUAAAAAUAAAUAAAAGAAUAAGUAAAAACUUAAUAAAUCGUUAUUUCUUAUUGUAUAAAAAUAAUAUAAUUAAAAUAUAUGAAAUAUUAAAUAAACAGAAAAAUGAAUAUGCUUUUAUAUCAAAUAAAAUUUCAAAAAGAAAAUUUUUAACGUAUAAACUAAAAUAUUUAAACAAAUUUAUAAAGUUAAAAAAUCUUUAUCUGAAAAAGGUAUGGAGUAUUAUUAUUAGCAAAUAUUGGAAAACAUAUCUAAAAUUAUUAAGAAAAUAUGAUUUAAUGUAUUCUCUUAAUCAAUAUAAAUUUAAUAAACAAAUACUUUUACCUAUUUUAAGUAAUAUAUUAAAUAAAAUAAUAGGAAAGAAAGUGGAAUAUAAUAUAAUAAAUAUAAAAUCUAUUGCUUAUAAUACAGAUCUUUUUACUAAUGCUUUAUCUUUAAAAUUAAAAAAAAAGAAAAUGAAUUAUAUGAAAAGUAUGUUUAGUAUAUUAAAUAGAGCUUAUUUACCUAAAAUCAAUACAAUAAAAGAAAGAACUUUAGCUAAAAAUGUUGAUUUAUUUUUAGAUAAAUAUAAAGAUUUGAAAAUAAUUUCUAAUAUGGGCGCAGGCUCUAAUAAUAAUUUAGAUAAGUUAUUAGGUAGUUAUACUAAUACUAAAGAAGUACAUAACACAAUAUAUAACUCUAUAGGUUAUAAAAACAUGGGAGGUAUAAGAUUAGAAGUUAAAGGUAGAUUAACUAAACGUUACAGAGCAGAUAGAUCUAUAUAUUCAUUAAAAUGGAAAGGUGGAUUAAAAAAUGUAGAUUCAUCAUUUAAACGUUUAAGUUCAGUUUUAUUUAGAGGAAAUUCUAAAUCAAAUGUAUCUUAUUCAUUAUCUAACUCAAAGCGUCGUAUUGGGGCUUUCGCUGUAAAAGGUUGGAUAAGUGGUAAAUAAAUAUUAAAGGAAAUCUUAAAUAUGUAUAAAAUAAAAAUGAAGACAUAGUCUGAACCAUUUUGAAAGAAAUGGAAAUAUAGAAUUAUGAUAACAUAUAGAACAGGCUAAUUUGCGCAAGAGUGUACAAAAUGAGUGCGCGGUUUGGCACCUUGUAUUAUACAAUACACUUUUAAUAAUAAAUAUAAACAAAUAAAUAUGAAAAAACUAAAUAAUAAUAUAAUAGAUUUAUUGAUUGGUUGUAUAUUAGGUGAUGCUCAUAUUGGUAGAUAUAAAGAUUAAAAAGUAUAUAUUACUUUUGAGCAAACUAUCAAACAUAAAGAAUAUAUUACUGAUAUAUAUAAUAUUUUAAAUAAUACAGAUUUAAAUAUAGAUGAUAUUAAGUAUUAUUCUAGAAAAAAUUCUAGACACAAUAGUACUAAUACUUCUAUCUAUUUUAAGUUACAUAGUUUUGAAUUACUUAAUUUAUUAGCUAAUAGUUUCUUAUCUAAAAAUAAUGUAAAAAUUAUACCUUCAAAUAUUGAAUAAUACUUGAAUCCCAUUACGAUAGCUUAUUGAAUGUGUGAUGAUGGCCAAUUCGUUAAGAACGGAGGUAUUACAUUAUGUACAGAUAAUUAUACUCUUACUGAGGUAGAAUUAUUAAUUAAAGCAUUGACUAGUAGAUAUAAUUUAAAAUGUUCUAUUCAUUACAAGAAAAGUAAGACAAAUAGAAUAUAUAUAGGUAAAAACUCUUUUAAUGAGUUAAAACCUUUAAUAAUUAAUCAUGUACACAAAUCAUUUUUAUAUAAAUUGCAUAAAUAAAAACAGUUUAUAUCAAUUAUUUUAAAUAAUUGUGACAUCGGGGGUUUUUUAUAGUAAUAUAAAAUUAGAAGUUGGCUAUAUUCUAGAAUAUCCUUAUAUAGUAGGAGAACUAGCAGGGAAGUAUAAUUAUAAUUAUAGUUAUACCCUUCAACGAUCACACGCCAACAUCCAGAAUAUUAUUAACAACACUUUAAUACUGGAUGAAGAUAUGAUCUAAACCUUAAGGCAACUUAAGGAAGAAAUAAUAAUAACUAAAAAUGCGAUGUCGGCUUAACUUAUCCUCAUGGACGCAGGAACUAUGUAGGGUGCGACUGUUCGUCGAUUAAAAAGUUACAUGAGCUGGGUUAAAUACGUCGUGAGACAGUAUGGUUUCUAUCUUCUAGGGGAAAUUAGAAUAAAAUAAGAACGAACUUUUGUACGCAAGGAACAAGAAGAGUUUAGCCUGUAAAAAAGGUUAAAAUAUAGUUACUAACCUAUGGUUUACCUGUUGUUUAUGUGCCCAAAUAUUAAAUAUAUAUGCUGUUGUAUAUAUAUGUGUAUUAUUAUACAUAGGGAUGUUUCUCUCACUAAGAUAAAUGUAUAGCAUAAGCACGGCAGGAACGCUAAGUUGGUUAAGGAUAAGUGCUGAAAGCAUAUAGGCACGAAGCUUAUCUUAAGAUAUUUCUUAAAUAUACGUAAUAUACUAUUACGAAAUUUAUAGGCUUUAUCCGUACGAAUCUAGAGAUUUUAAAGAAUAAAGUACUAAUUUUAUAAUUCACUAUUUAUAAAUAUAUCA